UUUUUUUUUUUUUUUUUUUUUUAAAUUCAGAGAAGAUAAUGUGUAUAUUCAUAUAUUUGCAGCAAGCUAAACCAUAAACAUCAGCUCAACAUUACACAUCUUUCUUCUGUUUUAAUUACUGCCCUAAAUGUUCUGAGGGCCAAAUACAGAGAAACCCAGCAGAAACACUGCUAAAGCACACAAACAUCACAAGUUUAAAAAAACCCCAGGACAUAUGUUUUUAUUCUCAAUAUAUUUUUCAAGGUAGAAAACACAUUCUGAGAAUUCAGAUCGAUAUCACUAAGGAAGAGUUUUCCUCUAGAAGAUUCUCAGAAGAUUCUCAGUGUAUUUUUCUCUCAUCUUGUUGAUUUGCAUUUCCUCAUUUUCUCAAUACAGCUUUCACUGUGCUUAUUUUAAUUCCAGUGUGCACAGACCACAAACAUUCCUGCCUUCCUGCCCCACCUGGGCCUCUGCUCAGCUUGUGAGGAAUGGGGGAGCCAUCCCACUGGGUUCCCACAGUUCCCCCAACCCCUGCCCCAUUGCUGCACCAGCCAUGGGAAAAAGCUACGCAGAGCCAAGGAAGGUGCUUUGGAAAGCAAGUGGGACCUCAUCCAGUGGGAGAAGAAAUAAAUAUUUCCACAUAUGAUCCAGGUAAAGUUGGUAGCACCCAAAACAACCUUGGAAUAUAUUUUAAUCUACACAUUUCAAGUAUUAACCAAGCUGGCCCAAUUCAAUAAGGAUUGGCUUUCAGAAACAAGGGCUGCCUGUGGAAAUCCCAUCUCUGGAAUACUUCAGUAUUAACAUUAAUACCUUCUCUAGGAGGUGUCUUGGAUCUUAAUUAUGGUACCCUCAGCAAUGAUUGUUUAUUUUUAUAUUUAUUACUUUUAGUAGAAAUUGAAAUAGAGCUGAAGCGAAACAAACUGUUGUUCACAUUGGCUAAUACAUUUGUUAAAUAUCAAUACAAGCCACUUAAAAUGACUAACUGGGUAAUUAAAAAUAGAGAUAAAAAAAGUAAAAUUACUAUUUAUCUAAGAGAGCUAAAAAAAAGUUCACAAGAGAAAUAUUGUCAGAGUGCAAACAUGAACUGUCAGACCUACCUUCUCUGGUAUCAAAUUCUGAAUAAAAAUACAUCCAUUAAACAAAGGUUUAAAGAUAAAUUAUUUAAAAAUACAUCAAUAAAACAUUAAGCAACGCUGCUUGCUAAAGAAAUACAAGGCCAAGCAAUCAUACCUUCCUUAGCCAUGAUGAAAUCAUAGAAGGGAAAAAAAAAUACAUAAACCACUUCAUGUAGCUCAGUGAUGUAUUAUUUGAUAGGAAACACUUCCCUGCGAGUGUCCAUUAACUGAUGCUUAUACUGUAACUCACAGUCUAUGACAUCCAUAUGAAUCUCAAAUGAAUUCACUCCUAUCACUGCUGGUUAAAUGAAUACUAUGUGGAUUGGGGCUCUUUUUUGAGCAGACGCAAUCUGUUCAUGUAUGAUGAGCUCUAUCUGAAUUGAAGGGGUUGCAGUGAGCUGGGUACAAGGAAGAUGCACAAAUAAGCACGAGAGGUUUAAGCCGGCAGCACACGAAGAUCAGGAAUCCACUGCAUGUUCUGAGGAAUGGGAGGGGAAAAGCAACUGCACAACGUGGUAAAAAUCAGAUCCUAGCCAUGAUAUUAAAGAGUAACAGGAAUGCACACAGAAAGAGUAAGAACUGCUAUUAUGUAUUGACAGAAGAGAAACAAUGCACCAGAGCGUGAGAGAAAGAUGCCGUUGUGGGAAAAAAAAUGGAACAGAAGGGAAGUAAAGAGCCUUAUGGUAUGUGAAGAUUAGGUAGUGAUUGAGGACAUGUUAGAAAAACAACCUGUGAGGAAGACUGUGACCAAAGAGAAAAUAACAAAAAACCUGAAAAAAAAUGGGCCGAAACACAUGCAACCUCCCAUUUCAGAAAUAAUAGAACAGGGCCAGUCUAGCAUCCCCGGACAAGGAUUUCUUGGAGAAUGGCUGACACAAAGACAAGGGGAACAGAAAUCAAACAGGUUUGCCACAGCAGAAGAACCAACUGUGUUUUUUUCAUAAAUAGCCAAACAGAAAUGAGGGCUUAGUCCUACAGAAAACCCCUACUUUAGAUUCAGAGAGCUUGCCAAUGGAGCUAAUCCUGUAAUCAGCCAUGAUCCAACUCUAUAAAGUAUCCUCAGAACUGCUGCUGCCACCACUUGUAGCUCCCGCUGCUCGUUCUUCACUUCACAGCAUUUCUAAGACAGAUUGUCUUGGGCUUUGAAGAGUUUACUCAACAGGGAGAUGAGCAAAGAAGAAGGAAAAGAUGUUAAAAGUUCCACUACUGCUGUGGCUCAGAAGUAGGACUGGUUUACUUAAGCUGCCUGCCAGAACCAGUACUGCACUUUUUAAUGAACAUAUCAUUUAUUCCCCAUGAAUGCUGGCUGACAUGGAAAUGGAGGAGGGAGCCCAAACAAGCUGAACCAACUCCUUCCCCAUCAAUGCAAACACACAGAAGACUGAGCUACAAAACAUGAGAAUGCAGCUGCCAGCAGAGAAGGCUUUGUACUGCUGUGUCCUGUCUGUGCCACAAGUGAUUCCAGUUCUUCACUAAUCUGCAAUGAUCAGAAUGAAAAUAUUUACAGCAAAGGGCAAAAGAAACACAAUAUACAUACAAGAGUGGUAUUCCCUCU
rnacentral:lncRNA from 1 species